rnacentral:rRNA from 1 species
GUGAACGCUGGCGGUAGGCCUAACACAUGCAAGUCGAACGGCAGCACAGUAAGCGCUUGCUCUUACGGGUGGCGAGUGGCGGACGGGUGAGGAAUACAUCGGAAUCUACUUUUUCGUGGGGGAUAACGUAGGGAAACUUACGCUAAUACCGCAUACGACCUACGGGUGAAAGCAGGGGAUCUUCGGACCUUGCGCGAUUGAAUGAGCCGAUGUCGGAUUAGCUAGUUGGCGGGGUAAAGGCCCACCAAGGCGACGAUCCGUAGCUGGUCUGAGAGGAUGAUCAGCCACACUGGAACUGAGACACGGUCCAGACUCCUACGGGAGGCAGCAGUGGGGAAUAUUGGACAAGGGGCGCAAGCCUGAUCCAGCCAUACCGCGUGGGUGAAGAAGGCCUUCGGGUUGUAAAGCCCUUUUGUUGGGAAAGAAAAGCAGCAGGUUAAUACCCCGCUGUUCUGACGGUACCCAAAGAAUAAGCACCGGCUAACUUCGU